rnacentral:lncRNA from 1 species
UAUCAAUUUCAUUAAUGAACUCACCUUUUAAUUUCAAAAUUUUCAAAUUAAAGCUCAUUAGUUCUUUUGUUUAUUUAUUUAAAUUAUUUGUUUAAAUUUAAAAGAUAAAAAACAUUUCAAUUAUAAUAAUUCAUAAUUUUUUUAUUUUCUUAUAAAUUCAAAGUGUUCAAUAUAUUUUGACAUUUAUAUUUAACUUUCUUUUUAAAUUAACUCAUGUAAUACAUGAGUCUCACAACUAGUAACUCAUUAUAUUUAAACCCUAAAAAUAUCCACCCUCAUUUUGACAUCCAAAGAUACGAAAUUAUCUCUGAUGGCACAAAAUGGGCACAUGAUUAACAAUGUUGUAAUUAUCCUAUGUAUAGCUUUCUUGUUUGUUUGAUGAUAUAGGUUGAAAUGUAGUAGCAUUUUGUAUGUUUUUUGCCCGAAAUUCGAUAAAAAAAAAAAAAAAAAGAAGAGCGUAACCACACAUGGUAUCUUUUAAUGCACAUAAUGUGCAUUAACGACUUAGCUUUCUUGUUUGUUUGAUGAUAUAGGUUGAAAUGUAGUAGCAUUUUGUAUGUUUUUUGCCC